GUGUUGCACCAAAGGAGAGAUGGUUAGUAUUCAUUCCCCUCCCGAAGGAUGGAAGAGGUCCUAGUGACCUGUACCAAUUAAGGGAUUGUUAUCUACAUUGUGGCAUCUAAUCGUGUUUGGUU